rnacentral:misc_RNA from 1 species
UAGUCCUCGUCCCUCCAGCGAUAUCGGCAAUGCCUUGGGUUGGUGAAUGGCGAGCUGCAGCGGCGUGAGGAAGGAGGAACUGCAAGUUGGAGCCGAAACUUCAAAUGGUUCCUCCUGCCAUUUCUAGUGGCCAAAUGGCCUGUCAUCAGUGGCACUGGAUUCCUUGGUGAGUGGGCUUUCUUUCUAAUAAGAAUCACAGAAAAUGGAGCUUUGGAGAGAGAGAGA